GAAAAGCCCAGUGAUUCUUGAUGACAGACUCUAAUUUAAUUGUUCUAAUUACAGCUUAUCAUGGCAGCAGCAUUACUCAACACAGCUGAAGGCUGAAGCACACGCUCCUUUGACAGGAAGAGAUGCUACCAGAGACUCUUUCCACCGUUCUGCUGUUAUGAAGCUCAUUGUGAUGGAAUUUAAAGUGACGUCAGCCCUCAGACCAGAGAGCAGUGAGACAAAGACAACAAGCUGGCAAAAACAAGAAGCAACGGGAAAGGACAGUUCUCCAGUCAGGUGAGUUCUCAAAGCUGCAGUAGCAUGAAACCCCGAUGACAGACGCUGAAGUCUGAGGUUGGAAUGCAAGAAAAUCUGAAAAAGUUGAGGAGGUGUGAGCAGAGCUGCAGCUUUUCAAAAGGAAGUGAGUGAAAAUCCACAAACAGAGGAAGAACAGGGACAUGGAUGGACAGACAGGGAGACACAGGCAGUGUUGUUACUGUCCACUCAGGCAGGUAAUGAAGCACAAAACUGCCCGGCUGCAUCGGAACAAAUGGGAUAACGAGUAAAGAGAGAGAGAAACAAAAAAGAACAGAACACAGGAACACACAGUCAGGAGUAAACCGACAAAAACACGACUAGAGUCGAGGCUUUAGAGGAUUCUCUCUCUCGCCUCAUAACUCCUGCUGCUGUGUGUCGUAAGAAGAGGCUGAACGGGUCG